rnacentral:rRNA from 1 species
UGGGGGAUAUUGCACAAUGGGCGAAAGCCUGAUGCAGCGACGCCGCGUGGGGGAUGAAGGCCUUCGGGUUGUAAACUUCUUUUGCUCUGAACAAGGCGCACCAUGAGGUGUGUUGAGUGUAGGGGUUGAUUAGCGCCGGCUAACUACGUGCCAGCAGCCGCGGUAAUACGUAGGGCGCGAGCGUUGUCCGGAAUUAUUGGGCGUAAAGGGCUUGUAGGUGGCUGGUUGCGUCUGUCGUGAAAGCUCAUGGCUUAACUGUGGGUUUGCGGUGGGUACGGGCUGGCUUGAGUGCAGUAGGGGAGGCUGGAAUUCCUGGUGUAGCGGUGGAAUGCGCAGAUAUCAGGAGGAAUACCGGUGGCGAAGGCGGGUCUCUGGGCUGUUACUGACACUGAGGAGCGAAAGCAUGGGGAGCGAACAGG